rnacentral:rRNA from 1 species
GACGUAGGGCGCGAGCGUUGUCCGGAUUUAUUGGGCGUAAAGAGCUCGUAGGCGGCUUGUUGCGUCGGCUGUGAAAACCCGUGGCUUAACUGCGGGCUUGCAGCCGAUACGGGCGGGCUAGAGUUCGGUAGGGGAGACUGGAAUUCCUGGUGUAGCGGUGAAAUGCGUAGAUAUCUGGAAGAACACCAGUGGCGAAGGCGGUCAACUGGCCCGUAACUGACGCUCAGGCACGAAAGCGUGGGUAGCGAACAGG